rnacentral:lncRNA from 1 species
AGGGAAAGGUGGCAAUGACUGCCUGAGGAAACUUCAUAGAAUUAUGUGCACUCUGAGGCCCAUUACAAAAACACGGGAUGCAGGCAUCAGACCCAGGCAAGGUUUCAAGGGAUGCUAAACAAUCAAAAGCUUUCUCAAGAAACACAGAAUCAGACAAUACAUAAUUCCAUGGAGUGGGAAUAAAUUUAAUAGUAAAAAACUCAUCUAUCAU